rnacentral:rRNA from 1 species
GGCUCAGGACGAACGCUGGCGGCGCGCCUAAUACAUGCAAGUCGAGCGAGAAGGUGUAGCAAUACACUUGUAAAGCGGCGAACGGGUGAGGAAUGCAUGGGUAACCUACCCUCGAGUGGGGAAUAACUAGCUGAAAGGUUAGCUAAUACCGCAUACGUUUCCGGAACUUCGGUUCUGGAAAGAAAGCAAUACCGUGGGUAUUGCGCUCAUGGAUGGGCUCAUGUCCUAUCAGCUUGUUGGUGAGGUAAUGGCUCACCAAGGCUUCGACGGGUGGCUGGUCUGAGAGGACGAUCAGCCACACUGGCACUGCGACACGGGCCAGACUCCUACGGGAGGCAGCAGUAAGGAAUAUUGCGCAAUGGACGAAAGUCUGACGCAGCGACGCCGCGUGGGGGAUGAAGGUCUUCGGAUUGUAAACCCCUUUCGGGAGGGAAGAUGGAGUGGGUAACCACUUGGACGGUACCUCCAGAAGCAGCCACGGCUAACUUCGUGCCAGCAGCCGCGGUAAUACGAAGGUGGCAAGCGUUGUUCGGAUUCACUGGGCGUACAGGGAGCGUAGGCGGUUGGGUAAGCCCUCCGUGAAAUCUCCGGGCCUAACCCGGAAAGUGCAGAGGGGACUGCUCUGCUAGAGGAUGGGAGAGGAGCGCGGAAUUCCCGGUGUAGCGGUGAAAUGCGUAGAGA